CUGGUUUUUCAAUACAGAAAUCAUGAAUUGAAUUAGAUUUGCGUGAACUAAAGACUUAAAUCCAGAUGAACUAAUUUUGAUGAACUAAGUUUGGAUUCAGUGAACUAAACUUUGAGAUAAUGAUGAGUAUUUCAAGUGAACUGAAUAUGAAUCUAGUGAACUAGACUUGUGAUUUGAUGACCCCCAAAAUUUGAACUUAGUGAGCUAGAUUUGCGUGAACUAAAAACUUGAAUGUUUUUUAGUGAACUAAACUUUAAGAUUACGAUGAGAAUUGUGGUGAACUGAAUGUGAAUCUAGUGAACUAAAAUUAUGAUUUGAUGAACCGAAUUUGAACUUGGUGAACUGAAUUAUCAAUGUAUAAUUUGGUUUUUAAAAAAAGUUCACUAAAGGAAAAAACAACUGGCCUGGUUUUUCAAUACAGAAAUCAUGAAUUGAAUUAGAUUUGCGUGAACUAAAAACUUGAAUCCAGAUGAACUGAAUUUGAAUUCAGUGAACUAAACUUUGAUAUUUUGAUGAGUAUUGAAGUGAACUAAAUAUGAGUCUAGUGAACUAAAAUUAUGAUUUGAUGAACUAAAAUUGAACUUGGUGAACUAGAUUUGCGUGAACUAAAAACUUGAAUCCAGAUGAACUAAUUUAGAUGAACUAAAUUUGAAUUCUGUGAACUAAACUUUGAGAUUAUGAUGAGUAUUGAAAUGAACUAAAUAUGAGUCUAGUGAACUAGAUUAUCGGUGUUGUAGAACCGAAUACGGAUUUGGUUCAUUAUAAUCUGACUGUUGAUGAACAAAUUCUGAAUUCGAUUAAACAACUUUUAUUUCCCAUGAAAUAUAAUAAAAUAAAAAACAACUAACAGGGUUUUCAUUGCAAAUUUCAUGAACUAAAUUUUUAAUCGAAAUUAUAUAAAACUAAUUUAAUGAACUAAAUUUUGAAUGCAAAUUAUAUAAAAUUAAAUGAAUUGAAUUAGAUGGUGUUUUUUAGUGAACUAAAGUUUAAGAUUAUGAUGAGAAUUGUGGUGAACUGAAUGUGAAUCUAGUGAACUAAAAUUAUAAUUUGAUGAACCGAAUUUGAACUUGGUGAACUGAAUUAUCAAUGUAUAAUUUGGUUUUUUAAAAAAAUCACUAAAAUAAAAAACAACUGGUCUGGUUUUGAAUACAUAAAUCAUGAAAUGAAUUAUAUUUCCAUGAGCUAAAACUUGAAUCCAUAUGAAUAAAUUUAGAUGAACUGAAUUUGAAUUCAGUGAACUGAACUUUGAGAAUAUGAUGAGUAUCGAAGUGAACUAAAUAUGAGUCUACUGAACUAAAAUUAUGAUUUGAUGACCCCCAAAAUUUGAAGUUGGUGAACUAGAUUUGGGUGAAUUAAAAACUUGAAUCCAGGUGAACAUAUUUUAAUGAACUGAAUUAGAUGGUGUUUUUAGUGAACUAAACUAUAAGAUUAUGAUGAGAAUUGUGGUGAACUAAAUGUGAAUCUAGUGAACUAAAAUUAUGAUUUGAUGAACCGAAUUUGAACUUGGUGAACUGAAUUAUCAAUGUAUAAUUUGUUUUUUUUUAAAAAAGUUCACUAAAAUAAAAAACAACUGGCCUGGUUUUUCAAUACAGAAAUCAUGAAUUGAAUUAGAUUUGCGUGAACUAAAAACUUGAAUCCAGAUGAACUAAUUUUGAUGAACUGAAUUUGAAUUCAGUGAACUAAAUUUGAGAUUAUGACGAGUAUAUCAAGUGAACUGAAUAUGAAUCUAGUGAACUAAAAUUAUGAUUUGAUGAACCGAAUUUGAACAUGGUGACUUGAAUUAUCAAUGUAUAAUUUGUUUUUUUUAAAUC
rnacentral:lncRNA from 1 species